UCGUGCCGCUAAAAGUCAUGAGCUGGUCC
rnacentral:piRNA from 1 species